AGAGUUUGAUCCUGGCUCAGAGUGAACGCUGGCGGAAUGCUUAACACAUGCAAGUCGCACGGGGGGCUUCGGCCUUCAGUGGCGGACGGGUGAGUAACGCGUAGGAACGUAUCCAAAGGUGGGGGAUAACCCUGGGAAACUGGGGCUAAUACCGCAUAUGGGCUGAGGCCCAAAGCCGAAAGGCGCCCCUGGAGCGGCCUGCGUCCGAUUAGGUAGUUGGUUGGGUAAUGGCUGACCAAGCCUGCGAUCGGUAGCUGGUCUGAGAGGGCGGCCAGCCACACUGGGACUGAGACACGGCCCAGACUCCUACGGGAGGCAGCAGUGGGGAAUAUUGGACAAUGGGCGCAAGCCUGAUCCAGCAAUUCCGCGUGGAUGAAGAAGGUCUUCGGAUUGUAAAGUCCUUUCGGCAGGGACGAUGAUGACGGUACCUGCAGAAGAAGCCCCGGCUACUUCGUGCCAGCAGCCGCGGUAAUACGAAGGGGGCUAGCGUUACUCGGAAUCAUUGGGCGUAAAAGGCGCGUAGCGGCGCAUACAGUCAGGCGUGAAAUUCCUGGGCUCAACCUGGGAACUGCGCUUGAUACGUAUGGGCUAGAGGAUGGAAGAGGGUCGUGGAAUUCCCAGUGUAGAGGUGAAAUUCGUAGAUAUUGGGAAGAACACCGGUGGCGAAGGCGGCGACCUGGUCCAUUACUGNNNNUAGGCGCGACAGCGUGGGGAGCAAACAGGAUUAGAUACCCUAGUAGUCC
rnacentral:rRNA from 1 species